rnacentral:lncRNA from 13 species
CUCCCUCCACCCAUGCUGGAAAAAAAAAAAAAAAAAAAAAGUAGUGCAUAUUGCCUCUUCUAUUCAGUCUGUGACCAAAGGUUUCAAUGGCAAAGAUGACUCAUACCUUAAAGAACUGGAAAAAAAAAUUUUUAUGGCUUCUCCAUUCAUUGUCUUGCUCUCAUAAAACUGCUGAAUGACACCCGGAUGUAAAACCCACCAAAGAAAUAAGUGCUGGAUGACAUGUGGCAGAUUUUCUAACGCUCCAGGAAGGACUUCAGAGCAACUUGUUUCUCUGGAAACUGCUCACAUCUGGGGACUGUCCCUGUCCCCUGGGACACAUAAAUGUUCCUAUCUUCAGGGCACAGGUCUAAAGAUUAUUCAAGAUCUUGCUAAGAAGUUAAAGCAACAUGACAUUCUGAAAUAAAAGUGUGCAGAUGCUUGAGGAAUCUAUUCUAAGAAACAAGUUAAAAAAAUACACAUAAAGAUUUCUCUACUGAAACAUUAUUUUGAGCAAGAAAAACAAGAGGAGGCAAUGUAAACAUUUAUUAAUGAGGUAAAUCAUUAAGUAUAAUGCAGCCAUUAGAAUAAUAUACUUUUAACCUUUUUGUUAUUAUAUGUAGCAUACUUACAGAAAUGUCCACAAGAACUGAAGGUACAACUUAAUGAUUUAUUGCAAAGACAAUACUCACAUAUCCAUUAUGCAGAUCAAGAAAUGGACCAAUAUUCUAGAAGUCCCCCACCUUUCUGAUCAGAGCUACUUCUGAACUCCUUACCAUUAGUUCCUUGCUUUCUGACUAGGG